rnacentral:lncRNA from 1 species
GCUGACUGGGGUUUCUGCCUCCCUUAGUAAUCAUGGAUUGGUGCUGUCAGUGCCUGAUGGAUGAAGGGGACGGAUCAGAAUGGACUGGAGGGGAUUGGAUCUGCCUUGCAAAUCAUGAGGGAAUCCCAGGGAAAGAAAACACUCCUCGGACUGAUAGUGAGGUGAUUGUCUCUACAUACAGAUGAGAUACAUGAGACACUGAGAAAUGGAUACCACUGAGGUCAUGGCCAGGAGGUGGCAGUGCAAAGAUUCCUACCCAAGCUUCCUCAUCUGUGAACAGAACAGGAAGGCCUCGGUAAAUAGGUACAUGUUGACAAGCAACAACCUACUCAAAACUCAUCUUUUUGUAUUAAUGCAUCAUGUGACUCCCUCGUUUGGACUUCUGCAGGAACAUGUCAGGACAGGACAAUCACACAAAACAAUUUACAAGGAAAGAUGAUUUGGACAACGUUGGCUACAAACUGACAUAAUCAACUUUUGGAGAAAACUGCAAUCAACAGUGGCAGAAUGCACAUUCUUUUCAAGCGCACAUGGAAGAUGCACAAUGCGGGAAAAUAAAAUGUGAAUCUCAAAAAUAUCAGUUACUGAAAUUUUACAGAAUACAUUCUUUGAUCACAAAAGAAACUAAAAGAAAAAGCAAUAGCACAUAUGGCAGACAUUCAAAUAUUUGGACAUUAAGCCAGAAAUUUCUAACUAACUUACGAAACAUACAAAAAUCACCCAGGGAUAUAGAAAUGAUAAUAAAAAUGUAACAUAUCAAAAUUUGGGGGAAGCUUAUAAAGCAUUUUGUAGAGAAAAAUCAUUUAAAUGCCUAUAUUAGUAGAGAAAAAGGUUUAAAAUCAAUGAUUCGAAGUUUCUACUCUAAAAAGCUAGGUAAAGAAGAAUAAAUUCAAUGUGAAAUAAGUUGAACUAGGUCAUAAUACGCAUAAGAACAGAAAGCAAUGAAGUAACACAGGCACACCAUUAACUAGGGCUGCUCUUUGAAUGAAUAAAUAAAAUUAAUCCCUAGUAAGCUCAAUCAAUAAUAAAAAGAAAUAAACACAAAUUACAAAUAUCAAGAAUUAAAGAGAUAUAACGAUAGAUAUGAAAAGGACAAUAAAGGAAUAUAGUAAGAAAAUUUGUGCCAAGAAAUUUUAAAAAUUAGAAAAUGUAAUACUUAGUAAAAAUGAACAAAGCCUUAAAAAUGCUAUAAAGCUGAAACAAAAAAUAUAUGAAUAUUCCUAUAUCUCUAAGAGAGAUGGAAUUUUUAAUCAAUAAAUUUUACUCCAAAAAAUUCUAGAAGGAGAUUUUUUUAAUGCUGAUUUCUACCAAAUAAUUUAAGGAAGAAUAAUAUCUUAUAUAAACUCUUACAGAAAUUUGAAAAGGGAAACAUGCUUACCAACACACUUUAUGAAGCUGAUACAAACCUAAUACAAACAUCUCAAUAAAGAUGAGCGUGUGAAAUUCAAGCAAAUACAAAAUGAAUAAAAGCAUCAUGAUCAAGUGUGUCUUAUCUCAGAAAUGCAAAAUUGGUUCAACAUUCAAAAAUAAUAUAAUAUAUCACAUUAAUGCAAUUAAAUAAAAAGUUGGUGUAAUUCUUUUGGCCUUAUAAAUUUCUCUCUUGAAAUUAAUCCUGUUUUAUAAAACUUCAUUUUGUAUUCAUUUUGAUACAGUUUUUAUACUUUUUUAAUACCUGGAGUCAAUAUGUUUUGUAGAUAUUAAUAUAAUGUUUUUGACCCAAUAAAUGUCUUUUUCUUUAAAGAGAUUGUAUCUCCUUUGCUUGUUUGUUCUGUUUUGUAUUGUUUUUCGGAGACAGAAUCUCUCUUUGUUGCCCAGACUGGAGUGCAGUGGCCUGAUUAUGGCUUACUGCAGCCUCAACCUCCUGGGCUCAAGCAAUCAUCCUACCUCAGCCUCCUGUGUAGCUGGGACCACAGGCAUGUGCCAUCAAGCUAGGCUAAUUUAUUAUUAUUAUUAUUUUUUUUGAACACACAGAAUCUCCUCAUAUUGACUAGAUUGGUCUUGAACUGCUGGGUUCAAGCAAUCCUCCUGCCUCAACCUCCCAAAGUGCUGAGAUUACAGGCACGAGGUACCACACACAGCUUCCUUUAUUUUUAAUAGAAUAAAUAUUUGAUAUUAACUCUGAAAAUUUUGUCUUAUAUUUUCUAUUUUAAUACUUCCUUUGUGUUCAUCCUUGUCCCAUUGAGUGUUUUGUGUUAGUGUGUUCCUUUUAAGAACUUACAUGUUUUGUGUUUGGUAUCCUGUUGCUUUUGUAGAUCAGUCAAGUUGCAUUUGCAGAAAACGGAAACCACCCUGGGAAAGGAUAAGUGGUUCUAAUAUAGAGAACUAAGUGCUGAAAAAAAUGGGCUACAGGAAUAUUCUCUAGUCUGUGUCUUCAGGAAUUACUUCUGGAACUGCACCUUAACACUGGCUGACCAAGGACAAACUGGCUACUAUAAAAGGAAAGUGGGUGGUGAGGACCAACCACAGGAAGUGGUAACUGCAAGUGCACUCUGUCAUCACCGUGAUGCAAGGAUCAGGAAGCCCUCUAGUGAUAACUGCCCAUGCACAUAUAAGAAGGGAGGAAGGGACACUGCUCAGAAGACGCCAGCAUCUCCACAAGACCAUUCUUGCCAGCAACAACUUCCAAAAGUAUAGAAAACUGCAUUGUAAUCAGAUUCCAUUUUCCAAAUCUUGAAAGAGGGCAUCUAAUUAGUAGACCAAGAUUCACAGAAUUCAAGGAAACAUAGUUUGCAGCUUCCUUCUGUACCAGAAAGCACAGAGAAAUAGAAUGAGUAGUGCUUACAGGGACAGCUCAUGGGUUGCUUUCUAAUUGGAAAUUUACUAAUCUUUACAGGUGAAUAUUUUUUAAAGAUCCCUCAUUUUAAUUUGCAUGAUUCCUCUGGAGCCAUCACUAUACUUUUGGCCAAAAUUAUUUAUCUGAUUCAGUUGUCCAGAGGGUUCACUACAAGUACAUUUUCACACAAGGAUUCUAGCCUGAAUUUAUUUAACUGACAUUUCAAACUAUGUACUUCAUGAUAUUCCACCAACAUAUUUCAAAGCUAUUGUUAGGUAUAACAUUUUACCUGUUAUUUCAUGGGAAAGGUACACACACCCCAUAUAUCUUUUCUCUUCAUUAUCACCUUAAUUUUAUUUAAGAAAUUUUUAAUCUACAUGGUUUGAAUUAUCUCCUUUGUUAAGACAAGGUAACUCAAUUACAAGAAACAGAAAGUUCCCCAUAUGAUACUGGGCAGAUAUAGGUUAUUAAAACUGGUACUAGCAGGAAAGGGAGUGUGAGUACUUUGCAUAUAAUCACGUACAAUUUGGAGAAAGUGUUCUUAAAGCCCUUGGUUCAGUGGGGACCUGGGAAAAAAUAGUGGACUCUUGACUGUCAGUUCAGUAGCAUAAUGAGUCUAAGCACAUUCUGAGUGCUAGUUCUUAAAAAGAAAUAAAAAGCAAGAAAACUUUGCUUCAGGUGAUCCUAAAAUGUAGCAAAGGAACUCUGCAGCACUUCUGGGAAAAUUGCUGAUUGGCAUGAAAAAGAAUUAAGUGCUUUUCUCAUACCUGCAUGCAAUUUUAACUGUUCUAUGAAGCUUAAAUGCUGUUCAAAAUGCCUCGAAGAGAAUCAGGGAAGUUUUGUGCAAGCAAGAAAAGAUUCUAUGAAGCUGAAGAGAAAGCUGCUAUUUUGCAUUGCCCUAGUGUUUGUUUUAAAAUCUAUAAAUUUGGGGAAAAAUAAGUAGAAAGCAUCAAUAAGUAGAAUAAAUCAAUAGUCUAUAAUUUCGAUUGCAUUUUACAAUGGAAUCAAUACUUCUGCUUUCAGUAAAUAGAAAACUCCUGAUCAUAACCCUUUCUUUGGAGUGUUCUGUAAACUAUGCAAUGCUUAGUUAGCAUGCAUUUGUUUUUCUCUACAAAAGCCUGAUGACAAUUAUGUGUUUUAUGCCCUCUCAAAAAUUAAGCAAAAAUUAAAUAUCUACCCAAAAUAUUUUAUUUUAGAAUUGUUUAAUCUUUACAUCUCAGUAAGUGUUGACUAUAUCUAUGCAUUAAAUUGUCUUAAGAACAAUAAUAUUUCUGCCUAUUUCAAAUACUAUACAAUUGAGCCUGCCACAAGAACUGUUAUUGGCCAGAAAGAAAAUAAGAUUCACGAUAAAUACAUGAAUAAAGGCAGCAUCAUAAUUUCUAUUCCAUUAUAGACAGACUGAGUCAGUGACAAGAGGAGCUAAAGUACAAAAUGUGGUCAGCUGGCCCAGCUAGCUUAAAACCUAGUUGUUUUUCUUUGCUUGAAUGGUCAAGAUCUCUUAUGACAAAUUUUGAAUUACAAGAGAAUGUUCAGUGUUACCAGUCUUAUUUGUUAUUUAUUAAGUUCUUUGAAUAGAUUUUUUUAAAAGUUGACUGGUGUGAGUCUCAAAGAAACCUGAGGGAUAGUUUAGGGUACAUGUAGGAAGGUAUUGAAAAGAUUUUUACUGAAUGAAGGAUAGAUUGGGAUGUUGGAAUGAGGAAGCAGAAGUACAAAUUCCAGGGAGGAUUACAUUCUAGUAAAAUGUCAGUUUCCAAAGGUCAGUGCCAUCCAGUCUUUCCAUGAGCCAUUUUCUGUGCAAUAAGCAUGACUCCUGGGCAUGAUAGGAUAGAGUUUUAUAAGAUUUCCUUUCUCUCAUGCAUCAUAUUUAAAGUUUCUUUUCUAAAAGGGAAGAAAGGUGCGUAUCUGUGCCACAAGGAGUGGCUGACUCCAGCACAGUAACCUCAAGGGUAGCACCUUCAAUGUUGAUGAGGUUGGACUUAGCUGCUGGUUCUGGAAAGACAAAAGUGGACUAGAGGCUGUUGAUAAGUUGGCUACUCCUCCCUUGUUUUUAGUUUCAUUUCAGGUCAAGAAGUAGCCAUUGGUCACCACGUCUGUAACAUGCACUGUGCUGUGUGUUGGGCGUACAAAGAAGGAGAAUCUGCAGUCCUCUUCCUAAAGGAGUGCAUAGUGAUUUCAGUCCCAGGCGGUAAAGGCAGAGAAGUUUGCUCAGGGCUAUAGGGAAGGUCAGAGACAAUCCUCUGGCUCACCUGAGAGGUUCAGAAUAAGCUUUGAAGAGGAGAUGGUGCUGAGCUGAAUUUUCCACAAUGAGUUAACCACAUGAAAAAGCUGACAAAGGUCCAGGUGUAGUGGCUCAUGCCUGUAACCCCAGCACUUUGGGAAACCGAGGUGGGUGGAUCACAUGAGGGCAGGAGUUCAAAAUCAACCUGGCCAACAUGGUGAAACCCCAUCUCUACUAAAAAUACAAAAAAAUUAGCCAGGUAUGGUGGUGUGUGCCUGUAGUCCCAGCUGCUUGGGAGGCUGAGGCAUGAGAAUCGCUUGAACCUGAGAGGCAGUGGCUGCAGUGUGCUGAGAUCACACCACUGCACUCCAGCUUGGGUGACAGAGUAAGGCUCUGUCAAAAAAAAAAAAAAUGCUGACAAAGGCAAUCAGUAAAAUUAGUAAGAAAUAGCAUCAAUAGAAAACAGGUUUUACAAGCAACUUGGUAUAACUAAAUUUAAAAAUGUAAGGUGAGAAAUGUAGGUGACAAAGGCCAAGUCUUUGGUAGCAAGCUAUUUACAGUAUUUUAUCUACAAAUUGUUCCAACAUGUCACGUUUGCUACUUUAUUGAAAUGUUUGAUUGCAUAACAUGGAGAAUGUGCAGUGUGAGAUGAUGCCAUAUUUUCACUCUCUAAGACCUCGGAAGACUAAGCAGCUUUAAUCACCUAGAGUUUCAGUCAUUUCAGUGAAUAUUCAUAGAAAUAGAGGUGACCAACCAGCAGCGAGCUCAAGUGGCUGCAUCUACAGAGUGGGUUAGGAAUGUGGUGAGGUGUUUGGCAGUGGAGCGGUAGGCAGUGUGGGCAAUGCUGUCUGAAAGGUUAUCUCUCUAGUCUCCAUGGGGAUACAUGAAAAACUAAAAUAUAGAUAAUAACAUUCAUUCAUUCAUUUAUUUAUUCCUUUUUUAGAGACGGGGUCUUGCUAUGUUGCCCAGAAUGGAAUGCAGUGUCUCUUCACCGGCACCAUCCUGGCAUGCUAUAGCCUCAAACUCCUGGGCUCAAGCAUCAUCCUGCCUCAGCCUCCCAAUUAGCUGGGACUACAGGUGUGCAUCACUGUGCAGAGCUAAUAAUGUCCUUUCUGUAUGAAUUAUCGAGACUCAAGAAAGCACUUUGAUAGGGGAAGUGAAUACACUGGGGACAAUUAGUGGGUGGAUGUGUCUGAAGUGAGAGUAAGGCUCUCUUCAGCUGCAGCAUGAAAAUAAGGUGACCAGUUGAGGUCCUGGUUUUCCAGCUGAGCUCUCAAUCUCGUCUCACAAGACUGAUAAAAACGAUAUCUUUAGUUUUCCAGGACUGGCUAGAAACAAUGCAGGGAUAUUAUCAACAUCUCGUUAUUUUGUUCUCAUAAUUAUUUGAUUAAUGAUAAUGACUCAGCUGCUUUGUAAUACUAUGUAUGUCUUUUAUUAGCCUUAUAACUUCCCUUAACAGUAUAGGGACCUUGAUUUCUUAGUUUUGCCAAGAGAGCAAUAAACUCACAGUCAAGUUACUUUUUUAGAAUGUGUAUAGUUCCCAGGUGAAGGGAAUUUCAGUUCACUUAGAUAUCCUUUAAUUUUCACAUUCAUUCCAGCCUCAUUUCUACUCUGCAUAUGUCUCCAGUAUAUUUUUGCUCAUGACACAGAAAUAUCAGUUCCAUUCUUUGCUGGAAUUAACAAACAGCAAAAUAUCUCACCUGCUGGACAGAAUGCAUUGAUCUGCUAUUUUCUAUCUGUCCUAGAACCUCUUGUAGCACCAUUGUUUAACACAUUCUUGGAUUCAUAUUUAGAGCAUCAGGCUAAUUCAUGUUUGCUGAUUUGCAUAUGAAGGCUAGAUGUUAAAGUAGAAUUUAAAAUAUUUGGUUAUAUCUACUGUUUUUACCCUCUCUAAUUUAGUAGAACGUUUCUGGAUGUCAUAUUGUGUGGUUUAGUUAACUAUUAUGCACCAAUUAUACUAAUGUUUAAAUAAUAGUUUAACAUAUUUUUAACAAUGUUUAACUUAUUAUUUGUAGUAUAUAACCAGGAGAAAGUCUUCAGUUAUACAGUAAUUUAUCUUUCUUUCAUAAAGCUAAAAAGAUGUUAAUUUGCAUGAUUUUAGCUGAGUUUUCAGUGUGGACUUUGCUUCUGAAUUGUGUCCAAGGCUCUGAGUCGGUUUUAAGACCUUACAUCUGCAUGGUGCUUUGCCGUUUAAGAAGGAAUUCCACAUUAAUCUUCAGCUCUGAUUAUUCAAGUUCAUCCCGGUUCCUGUUACAGUCACUGCUUGAAUAAAUGAAUGAACCAAAACCAGAAUUGACUUUGGUUUUCCUAACAUUGUGAGUUUGUUGGAACAGAUAUCAUUAUUAUGGAAUAAUGUGAUUUUGUAAUAUUAUAUAAUAUAAUUAUUGUAUUUUUCAGAUAAAACAGCUGCUAAAAUUUAUUUGUACAGCUGACCUUGGAAUAACACAGGUCUUAACUGCAUGGAUCUAUGUAUGCAUGGAUUUUUUUUUCAAUAAAAUUACACUAACUGUGCCUGCCUCUCCCGCUUCCCCUUCCACCUCCUUCAUCCUUUCUUCCUCUGUCACCUCUGAGAUAACAAGGCCAACCCCUCCCCUUUCUCUUUCUCUUCAUUUGAAGACAAGGAAGUUGAAGACUUUUAUGAGGAUCUGCUUUCACUUAAUGAAUAGUAAAUAUAUUUUCUCUUCCUUUUGAUUUUCUUAAUGACGUUUUCUUUUUUCUAGCUUACUUGAUGGUAAGAUAAAGUCUAUAAUACAUAUAACAUACAAGAUCUAUGUUAAUCGACUGUUUUUGUUAUUCCCAAAGCUUCUGGUCAACAGUAAGCUAUUAGUAGUUAAGUUUUGGGGGAGUCAAAAAGUUACACAUGGAUUUUCUACUGUGCGGGGUUCGGCACCCCUAAUUCUUGCAUUGUUCAAGAAUCAGUUGUAUUACACUUUCUAGUUACAAUGCAUUUAACAUCUUGUGCUAUUUAAAACAACCCUGUCAGGCAGGAGGAGAAAAAUGAUUAUCUCUGUCUAGCAGAUAAGAAAAGUGAAAUUCAAAGGUCAAUGACCAUCUCCAAAUCACAGUGCAACAGCAUUGCUAAGACCUGAAUUCAGUCUGUUUCAUCAUAGUUCGCUGCUCUUUUAAAAAUUCCACCGUGCCUCUUAGGGCAUAUUAAUCACCAUGUGUGGGAGUGGGUGGGGGCUGUCAGAGGGGCAGCAUCUGGAGUUUUACCUGGUCAGGACAGAAGUCCUCCUCCCUGCUGGAAUGAUGAGCCUCUGUGCUUUGUUCCUUCUCUGCAGUGUGGCCAAAGUGAUGGGCUUUUACAAAAGGGCACCAUGGGGCAUUUUCGGGGUAGCUUGGGAUGGUGAUUGGGAGUAGCUCACAUGACACAUGUUAGGAUGUUGCCAAACUCAUUUUGGCAAGGCUAUUUGAUAGUAAAAGGAUAUAACGCUAGCAGCCUCUGUUGUCCAACACCAGGGAGAUAAUUCUUCUGUUCUUAUCCAGCAUGGUGCCAAGCUCUACGGGAACAAAAUGGAAGAAGGAGGAGGCAGAAAACGAAGCCCUCAGGUCCCUUAGGUUCAGGAAUGCACAUAAUUAAUGCCUUCCUUGACCCUUAGGAAAGCCAGAGCGCUAAGCAUUGGGAAUAUUUUACAUUAAC